rnacentral:misc_RNA from 1 species
CGCUCUCGCACUCGCACUCGCGCUCGUGUGGGUUCCCUUCUCGGCUUCUCCGAGGCGAGGGCUUGGCUGCAGGCUAAAACCCUCUCCGCCCCCACCCCCCGCGCGGUGGCUAGGGUUUUAGGGCGAGGGUGGGAGGAGGCAGGCAGGCGCGCGCGCGCGCGCGGGUGUUCAGGUGAGGGGGAGGAGGGCUCUGAUCCCGUCUCCGCAAUGUGGGGGGCGCUGGGUUACUCGCAGAAAUGGGGGGAAAGGGGAUGUGGUUGGUUGUUUGUCUGUUCAUCGUCGCUUGUUGUGGGGGGUUUGGGUUUCCCCGAGGGAAGGGAAGAUUUGGGUCGUGCGGAGAGGCGUGGGUUAUUCAAUUUUGGUGCACUUUGAUAUGCCUUUUUGUUUCCCAACUAAGGGGUUCUAUCUCAUGUAUGAUAAAUGUUCACCGGAGUAAUCCGUGUGGGUUUGGGGGGAAGUUUGUGGUGUGCUGGGAAUCUAAACGAAUCCUGAUGAUUGUGCGAAAUGUUUUUUUAGUUAGGGGAGGGGAGGGGAUCCUGGUGAGCAUCCGCAUCCUCUUUCUGAUGAUUCAUCUCUCACUCUACCACCUGGAGUGCUUUUGUGUGGAAUUUGCUCGCGUUCGUUCGUUAACCCUAGCUUCUCUUCUAGAUCUGGAAGAAGCUCUUUCUCUUAAUUUCAGAGCCUUAACCUUGAUACAAGUAACAGUUUGUUUGUACUUUUGGAUCUUCCCCUGUUGUUGGGUGUACUUUUGGUGGGUCGUAGUAGGAUGCUAGAGCUAAGAUGAAACAGAAGGAAAUGCAGCUUCAGCGGUAGGAGUAACCUAAUAUUAGCUUAGCCACUUUGCCCUAAUUAACUUGCUUGGAGACAAGGGCACACUCUCUAAGGGAAUAUAUUUGUUAGUGCACCCAUUAGGAAAAGGAAACAAAUGAUUAAAAUCAAAAGCAAGUUUGAUUUGGAGUGGUAUUUUCCGAGAAGCCAACAAAUAAUUACAGCGGUUUUUAUCCUACGUUUGCGAAUUUGAGGUUGCUGUUUUCUGUUUGUUUCUGCUAUUUCUUGUUGUUUAAUUGGAGCUAAUGGUGGGUUCUAGCUUGUUGGUAUUACCGGUUCUUUCUUUUCAAUUCUUUUUACGGACACAGCCAUGUCCCUUUGUCUAUUUCAGAUAGAUGGAGGAGGACCAGUCAGCAAUUCCGGUUGCUGAAGGUGCCAUCAAGAGCAUCAAGCUUAGCCUAUCCACUGAGGAUGAGAUUGUAAGUUCUCCUUCUCUGAUGCUUUUUACCAGCAAUGCUUGCAGAAAGAGAUGCAUGCAGAAGCGACAACUUGGUCAUUGUGAUCCAUUAGAGACAGUACCGUCUGAUAAGGGAGCAUAUGAUUGAUGUAACUACUCUUGAUGAUGAGAUCUAGAAACCCUCCUUUUCUCUAUCAUUUAUAUUUGAUAUCAUUUGCGAAUGGACCUCUAGCUGAGUUGGUUAGGUGGCUCUAGUAGCACUCCUCAGGUCCUGGGUUCGACUCCUUGUGGGAGCGAAUUUCAGGCUGGGGUUGAAAAAAAAUCCCCUCGUUUGUCCCACGCCAAAGCAUAGGUCUAAGGACCAGCCUAUUUUCACGGGUUACGGUGCUGCUGUGUAAGGGUGGGGCAAGGGUUCGGGGGUUUUCUUGACCUGCCUGUGCCGCUGUGUAAGGGGGGUUAGGGGGUUUUCUUGACAUGCGUGAGAAGGUCUUACCCUCCCUCCCCCGUCAGGUCAAGUUUUAUAUUUGAUAUCAUUCAAUUAGAUUUACCUAUGAUGCAUGAUCUGUGCUAUUCAAUCGCAAUGCAAAAUUUGAAUUUGUAAGAUUAAUUUUAUCAAGAUGAGUGUUGCUAUGAGAGCUUUUCUUUUUGACCUUUACUUUUGCAAUGUAAAGAUGAAUGUUGUUUGUUAGUUAAUACUGAAAUCUGACAUUUUCUUUUGCAUCUGGAAGUGCUGAUACAUGGGCUUUUUCGCUAACUAACGGAGCUGUUUUACAUUUUGUGGAUUUAAAUACUUGAUGUUGCAUUCUUCUACUUGAUUCAUAUGAAUUUAGCCUUCUUUUUUUUUGUAUUUUUUGUUUCUCAUGAAUAUGGCAAGGAUAUAUCCUGCACAGUUCCCAUUUAUAUUUCCUACUGUAAUACUAUGUUUUUUAUUUCCAACAUGACUGAUACACACCUUUCUGUCCUGCAGCGUACUUAUUCUAUAAAUGACUGUCCUGUCACUCAUCCUAGUCAGCUCGGAAAUCCCUUCCUUGGGUUACCUUUGGAGACAGGAAAAUGCGAGUCCUGUGGUGCCUCAGAAAAUGGAAAAUGCGAAGGUUCUCACAUGAUGACUUCUCAUUAGUUUUUCAUGCCCAAGAUAUUGUUCUGUAGCAACUGACAAUCCACUUUUCUCUUCUUUAAAACCAAAAUUAUCUGCUUAUUUAGGGCAUUUCGGGUACAUUGAGCUGCCUGUGCCUAUAUAUCACCCUUGCCAUGUAACGGAACUGAGGCAGAUAUUAAAUGUGGUAUGUUUGAAAUGCCUCCGCGUCAAGAAAGGAAAGGUACAUACAGGUCAAAGCAGCUAAGUCUUAAUUUUCUAAAUCCAAUUGUCUUACUUUGGCUUAUAAUUAAUGUGAUCUUACCAUGUAUCAGGUCAAACAGACAGAGGGAAAGGAUAACACAUCAGCAUUGUCAUGCUACUAUUGUCGGGUACUUUCCAACCCCAACAAUUUUGUAUAUCCCUUCUGCCUUGAAGUAGACAGACAUAAUAUUUCAUUGUUUGACAUGUAUAAGUAGUAGGAAUAUGGAACAUAUGCCUCUCGAAGAACCAAGUAUACCAGUGUUUUAAGUUUAAUCCACUCAUACAUAGUCCGGAUGUUACAGCUUAGUUGGUUUUAAAUUGAUCAAAAUCUGCUUGGGCAAAACAUAGCCAAUGUUACUGACAUAGCUGUUGCAGUAUUCACUCAGUAAUCCUAUCCAUACAUAUGCUUUCACUUAUAUAUUAAGUUACGGAAUAAGUUUUAUGUUGCAUUCUUUUGCAAUAAAACCAUUGAUUGCAAAGUUUUUUUGUCUACACAGAGAAUGAGUGACAGACUAGCACUGUAUUCAGUUUUAUGUUUGUUCAGUAACAUGUCGUCGUUGAAAACAGUACACAGGAUCAAAGUUAUGCUGUAUGAUGGAGUGUUAUUGGAACUUGUAAGAUGUGGCCAACAAUCAUGACAUAAGCAUUACUAUAUCAUGUUUUUAUUAGUUUUUUAGCGUAUGGCUUUUGGUAUACAGCUUUAGUUGUUUUUAUUAGAUGCUAGCCUUGACACUAUAAACAUUUACAAUCCGGAUGAGUGGCAACUGAUGUUCAUCGCCAUUUACUUCUUUAGGAUCUUCCGGCAUUAUCUUUGAAAGAAAUCAAAACAGCAGAUGGUGCAUUUCGUUUAGAGUUGAAAAUGCCUCCUAGGAAAUUCAUGACAGAAGGCUCAUGGAACUUCCUUGACAAGUAUGGAUUUCACCAUGGUGGAACCUCCCACUGCAGGACCUUGCUCCCGGAAGAGGUUAAUCUCAUUUACUUUAUUUUUAUGACUUCUGUAAGCUCCUAAAUAUCCAACAACCUACAUGAUCGUCUGUCAUUCCUGUAUCGUUUGCUAGGCUCUCAAUAUAUUGAAGAAAAUUCCUGAAGAAACGAAGAGGAAACUAGCUGCUCGUGGUUACAUUGCUCAAUCUGGAUAUGUGAUGAAAUACCUCCCCGUGCCACCAAAUUGUUUAUACAUUCCAGAAUUUACAGAUGGGCAGAGCAUCAUGUCCUAUGUGAGUUCUUCCUCACGUUUGUUCUUCAUAAUUUUCCUGACUGGUUCAAUUCUAUGUCAUGGCUUAUUAUACUUGCUUCUCAUAUCAGGACAUAUCAAUAUCUCUGCUGAAGAAGGUGCUUCAGAAAAUAGAGCAGAUAAAAAAGUCAAGAGCUGGAUCCCCAAACUUUGAAUCACAUGAAGUUGAAUCAUGUGAUCUACAGCUCUCUAUUGCCCAGUACAUACAUCUAAGGGGCACUACAAGGGUAUGUUGCAUGAUCUUAAUGUGAUAGUUUAUUUACCAUAUUUACAUGAGAGCAUGUUCAGGAGAGUCCUGUCUCAGCUAGAGAAUUGCUCCAGAGAGUAGCUCAUCUGCUCACACACAAAUUGGUCACUUGUUUUGUAAUCGUAAUUGUCACCAAGCCAUGAAUUAGGAUCGACUAGUUGUCAACUGCAUUUGCACAGGCUGUCGACUUAAGCUCAUUUUUACAACAAUUUCAAUACUCCUUAUAGUAACCAAACUAAAAAUAUGAAUUUACAUUUGACUUCAUAUUAAUAUAAUUAUAAUGACUGAGCACAUGCAUACAAGGGAUUUUGAUUCAUAAAUCUCUCAGAAGAUAGCAACAAAUGACCAAGCAUAUCCAUAUGGGUUGGGUUGAUCUUGUGUCGGGUUGAUCCUGUGCAUGAGUAUACACUGUGGAUGGUUAUCAUUGAGGAUGAACGGUCUGCUAUUGUGCGUCUAUGUGCACCCUUUAUUAGAGAAAACAGCCAUGCAAACCAUGCAUGCAUUGUCAGUGAAUUCAUAAUUUCAUAUUGCAUAGGACGUCCGUCAUGAUCAUAGACACACUAAGCAAAACUGCUCAUUUCCCUACAUUAACUAUAUUAUCGAACUCCCUUAUAGCUAUUAAACCCGAAACUACAACAUUUCUAUAGUAGUUGGACCUGAAAAGGUUCAUGAAAUUCAUCAACUAUUAGUUCAUGUUAAAGCUUUCUUCCAUAGGUUUAUGUUUUACAACCGUUCUCUCCCAGUAGUUGUGUGCAAUCACUUAUUUAGUCUUGUUUCUUUUGUCCCACGGUAAUGUUGUCUUGCAGGGUCCUCAAGACAACACCAAGAGAUUUGCAAUCAGUACUGAUCCUUCUGCGUUAUCAACAAAACAAUGGCUGGAGAAGAUGAGAACAUUAUUUAUCAGCAAAGGGUCAGGGUUUUCAUCACGCAGUGUACUUACUGGAGAUCCAUAUAUUGGAGUAGAUGUGAUUGGACUGCCUUCUGAAGUGGCAAAAAGAAUCACUUUCGAAGAGCAGGUAACAGACAUCAACCUUAACAGGUUGCAAGAGAUUGUGGAUAAGGGAUUGUGUUUGACCUACAGAGAUGGCCAGGCAACCUAUGCCAUCACCGUUGGAUCCAAAGGUCACACUACCCUGAAAGUCGGACAGACUAUCAGUAGGAGAAUUGUUGAUGGGGAUGUUGUUUUCCUUAACCGUCCACCCAGUACCCACAAGCAUUCCCUCCAGGCAUUUCGCGUGUAUGUCCAUGAAGACCAUACGGUCAAGAUCAAUCCGCUCAUAUGCGCACCUUUUGCAGCGGACUUUGACGGUGAUUGUGUGCACAUCUAUUAUCCACAGUCCCUUGCUGCAAAAGCUGAAGCACUGGAGCUUUUCAGUGUGGAGAAGCAGCUUACCAGUUCGC